rnacentral:snRNA from 1 species
GUGCUCGCUUCGGCAGCACAUAUACUAAAAUUGGAACGAUACAGAGAAGAUUAGCAUGGCCCCUGUGCAAGGAUGACAUGCAAAUUCGUGAAGCAUUCCAUAUUAAA